GUGCUUGCUUCAGCCGCACAGACACUAAAACUGGAUUGAGGCAGAGAAGAUUGACGUGGCCUCUGUGCAAGGAUGGCACGCAAACGUGUGAAGCGCUCCGUCUCUGG
rnacentral:snRNA from 1 species